rnacentral:rRNA from 1 species
GAUGAACGCUGGCGGCGUGCCUAAUACAUGCAAGUCGAGCGAACAGACGAGGAGCUUGCUCCUCUGACGUUAGCGGCGGACGGGUGAGUAACACAUGGAUAACCUACCUAUAAGACUGGGAUAACUUCGGGAAACCGGAGCUAAUACCGGAUAAUAUAUUGAACCGCAUGGUUCAAUAGUGAAAGACGGUUUUGCUGUCACUUAUAGAUGGAUCCGCGCCGCAUUAGCUAGUUGGUAAGGUAACGGCUUACCAAGGCGACGAUGCGUAGCCGACCUGAGAGGGUGAUCGGCCACACUGGAACUGAGACAUGGUCCAGACUCCUACGGGAGGCAGCAGUAGGGAAUCUUCCGCAAUGGGCGAAAGCCUGACGGAGCAACGCCGCGUGAGUGAUGAAGGUCUUCGGAUCGUAAAACUCUGUUAUUAGGGAAGAACAAAUGUGUAAGUAACUAUGCACGUCUUGACGGUACCUAAUCAGAAAGCCACGGCUAACUACGUG